AAGACCAAACUCUCACGUAUCACUUUUAUCGUUUCUGACUUGAGAAAUGUGUUUUUCUGAAGUGUUCGGUUUCCCCGGCGAUGAUGAUGAGUUGUGAUGUUCCCUCCCCGACCGCGGAGCAGAUAGAGAGUAAUGAUUCGGUUUUGUUAUGCUCUUUGUCCUUCGUGAGCGUUCUUGUACUUCCUGAGGGGCGGCCGUGGCUCAGCGGG